UAUGUGGAGUUAGAGGUGGUGGAAAUGCCGCAGCACAGGCAUUGUUUUGGCAAGCAAAGAAAGGGCUUUCGUUUGUUUUGGCAUUUGAAUCUGAGAGAGAAAGAAACGCAGCUGUUAUGCUUGCCAGGAGGUUUGCGUUUGACUGCAAUAUCACGCUUGUUGGGCCGGAUGACAGAUCUCCUUUAGGAAACUAACUGACCUCCAUCAUAUUCUGUUUCACUAAUUGUAAUUAGUUGUUGAGUAUCAUCAUGUAUUAUAAGUUUGCAUUACUAGGAUUUGGAGUUGUAUGAUUUUGUUGUGGCUGGCUUUUGUUUUUUUGGCUGUAGCACCAAGGCAUUGUUUUUUGUUUGCCUUUUUGUUCGAGUGUAACAAAUUCCCAACAACAUUUGGAGAAUUAUUUGCUGCUGUAUUUUAAUUUACAAUUGUUGAAAGUUUGAUAUUUUAUGGUUGAUGAUUGGUA